rnacentral:rRNA from 1 species
UAAGGUGGUUAUAGCGACGGGGCUCACCUCUUACCAUUCCGAACAGAGAAGUUAAGCCCGUUUGCGCCGAUGGUACUGCACCUCGUGGGAGAGUAGGACAUCGCCUUUUUUAGAGAAUCCCCAACAUUUAUUUGUUGGGGAUUUUUUUUG